ACGGCCGCGGUAUCCUAACCGUGCGAAGGUAGCGUAAUCACUUGUUCUUUAAAUAAGGACUAGUAUGAAUGGCACCACGAGGGCUUUACUGUCUCCUUUUUCUAAUCAGUGAAACUAAUCUUCCCGUGAAGAAGCGGGAAUUAACUUAUAAGACGAGAAGACCCUAUGGAGCUUUAAACAAAUAUCACCUGCUAAUCCCUUACGAUAUUCAGAUACUUUAUUUAUAUCUUAGCACCAUGAUUAUAAGUUUUAGGUUGGGGUGACCGCGGAGUAAAAAUUAACCUCCACAUUGAAAGAGUUCUCUCUAAGCAAAAAGCUACAACUUUAAGCAUCAAUAAAUUGACACUUAUUGACCCAAUAUUUUGAUCAACGAACCAAGUUACCCUAGGGAUAACAGCGCAAUCCACUUUAAGAGCUCUUAUCGACAAGUGGGCUUACGACCUCGAUGUUGGAUCAGGGUAUCCCAGUGGUGUAGCCGCUACUAAAGGUUCGUUUGUUCAACGAUUAAAACCCU
rnacentral:rRNA from 2 species